CUUUGGGGUUGUGCGGCCUUGGGUUGUGCGCUGAGGCUGAAGGAAAUGUAUUAGGUGUGCCCAUACCACUUCCAUUGUGCUGCUUGCAUCAUACUUGUGAAUGUGCAGAUGAUCUGAAGAGGUCUGGGUGUAUUGGAUAGCUGUGCAUCAGCCUAGUGCAAAAAUGAGUGCACUGCCAGAGGGUGAAAGCAGCUCAACCAAGGAGGUACUAAAUUCUUCCUUGAAUAGAGACCCAGACCAAGAUAGCCUGGACAGUGACAGCCUUGGUGAGGACACUGGUGAUGCUGAUCAUCAGGUUACAGGCCCAAUUUGCAGUCCUCCUGCAAAGUGCUUCAUUAACGCCGCAGACCUGAUGGACGACUGUGACUUGGAGCACCACCGAGCCAGACCCGACGUGCUGCCUCGCGCUGACAACCGCGCGCCGCGGGAAGACGGCGACCCAACCGCGCGCAGCCGGCGCCUCAGCUGCUCGCCGCCGCCGCCGACGGCCGACGUGGCGCGCCUGCAGCAG